AGUUUUUCAUCUUUGCCUUUCCCAGCAUGCUCCGCGAAACUUGUUUCCUACGGACAAGUUGAGUUUUUUCCGGUUGUCUGUCUCCUGCUUCGGUACAGCGCGUAUGUACUCAGUCUUUACGUAAGUUGGGGCUUCAGUCGGCCAUUUUGAUAUUACGUCUCAGCUUGUGUUUGGUUUAAUUCUCGAUUUAUUCGACAGCCAAAGAAUUGUUGAAGCUUUCGUGGUGGCAGUACGAGGAUACAAAGAAUGCAGGCGAUUUCGUGAUAAUGAAAAUACUAACCGAUUUUCUCUAGAAAUUACAUAAAUCGUUGAGUUAGAUUGUAUUCGACUUACACCCUUGUUCCAUUGAAAAUUUAAUCCUGGAAUCUGAAGCGAAAAUAAUAAAUUUUUAUUGACUAAUUCUGUGUGGAUUUCAACCUCUUUUCCUACUCACUGAACGUGUGAUGACUGUGACACGCGAAAGUUGCCAGAGCCGACAGGAACAAGUACAUCGUGAUCUCAUCCUCGUGUGUCUGUCCUGUUGUGGGUCUCCGGGUGCUACGUCUUGUACAACGCGAACCCGCUUAAGUCAUUCAAGGAGGCGAUGACCCACAUCAAGGGUUGGCCGUGCACGUCUGUACGCCUCGUUAAAUGCCAACCUCCUGAAGGCGACCUGUUGUCCGUUGAGUCCAUACGCCCCAGGGAACUCGUGGAGCCGCGGCAGACUCCUGUCAGUGGUAACAACCACGUCACACUCGUUCAAGACUUGAGGUUUACGCAGCGGUGAGGAUGAUGGCCGCUUACAUCGUGAUGUCGCUUACGCCGUGCAACACGACAACCCGAAAAUUAUAUUGCUGCUAGCAGCGAACUAAGGACUCCUGUGAUUAGCGGAGCCCUCUUCACAUUCACGGUAAUUAUGAUAUCAUCAUCAUUAUUCUUCAUCACCGCCGUGAACCCUCUGAACCUGAAUCGAGCCUUGCAGGCGGAAGGAAGAUUUUUCUACGUCUCGCUCCUGGACGCUUCUCUGUGACGUCAUCUGACACGAGACGUCUGAAAUGAUGAGGCACCAGUGAGCGAUGGACUCGGCAAAUCUUAAUGUCUCCAAUGGUAACUCCAAACCAGAUGUCAACACCAUCCAAUAUGGGACCAGCGACACCGGGCCCAAUGACACCCAUGACACCUUCGUCAGCAGAUCCUGGCAUUGUUCCACAGCUUCAGUAAGUUCUGGGCCAAAUCCUUGAUGUGUAUCAGCUGUGCCAGCUUCUGUAGAGUGAUAUGUGAGAAUUGGCAGGCCUGUACAAAUUUAUUAUAAUUUCAGUAACCACCUCCAAAAAUUACAGGUUGAAGUUUGGUUCUUCCAAGCAGUGACCAUGGCCCUCCAUUUUGACACAGACCAGAGAACCCCUAGGUAUCUUUCAUUUUAUAGCUGUUAUUAAUUAUUAUAUAUUAUGAAUGUAUAUUCCUGUUAACCAAAAGAAAUACAGUGAAAGUGCCAAUAAACUGUACUAGUGUGUUUA